GCUGGUGUAGCUCAAUUGACAGAGCAGCUGUUUUGUAAACAGAAGAUUGCAGGUUCAACUCCUGUCGCCAGCCCCA
rnacentral:tRNA from 1 species